CUGGAGUGCAGUGGUGCGAUCUUGGCUCACUGCAAGCUCCGCCUCCCGGGUUCACGCCAUUCUCCUGCCUCAGCCUCCGGAGUAGCUGGGACUACAGGCACCCACCACCACUCCCGGCUAAUUUUUUUUUGUAUUUUUAGUAGAGACGGGGUUUCACCAUGUUAGCCAGGAUGGUCUCCAUCUCCUGACCUUGUGAUCUGCCCACUUCGGCAUCCCAAAGUGCAGGGAUUACAGGCAUGAGCCACCGCGCCUGGCCAGGCCCGGAUAAUUUUUGUAUUUUUAGUAGAGAUGGGGUUUCACCAUGUCGGCCUGGCUGGUCUUAAACUCCUGACCUCAGGUGAUCUGCCCGCCUCAGCCUCCCAAAGUGCUGGGAUUACAGAGCCUGGUCAAUUAUUUAUCUUUUUUUGAGACAGGAUCUUGCUCUGUUGCCCAGGCUGCAGUACAAUGGUGAGAUUGAGGCUCACUGCAGCCUUAACCUCCUGGGCUCAAAUGAUCCUCUCACCUGUCAGCCUUCUGAGUAGCUGGGACUACAGGUACCUGCCACCAUGCCCAGAUAAUUUUUGUAUUUUUUGUAGAGAUGAGGUUUCACCAUGUUCCCCAGGGCUGGUAUUGAAAUCCUGGUCUCAAGCAAUCCGCCCAGCUCAGCAUCCCAAAGUGCUGGGAUCAUAGUGGAAA
rnacentral:lncRNA from 10 species